GAUGAACGCUGGCGGCGUGCCUAAUACAUGCAAGUCGAGCGAACAGAUGAGGAGCUUGCUCCUCUGACGUUAGCGGCGGACGGGUGAGUAACACGUGGAUAACCUACCUAUAAGACUGGGAUAACUUCGGGAAACCGGAGCUAAUACCGGAUAAUAUAUUGAACCGCAUGGUUCAAUAGUGAAAGACGGUUUUGCUGUCACUUAUAGAUGGAUCCGCGCCGCAUUAGCUAGUUGGUAAGGUAACGGCUUACCAAGGCAACGAUGCGUAGCCGACCUGAGAGGGUGAUCGGCCACACUGGAACUGCGACACGGUCCAGACUCCUACGGGAGGCAGCAGUAGGGAAUCUUCCGCAAUGGGCGAAAGCCUGACGGAGCAACGCCGCGUGAGUGAUGAAGGUCUUCGGAUCGUAAAACUCUGUUAUUAGGGAAGAACAAAUGUGUAAGUAACUACGCACGUCUUGACGGUACCUAAUCAGAAAGCCACGGCUAACUACGUG
rnacentral:rRNA from 1 species